GCAGUCGCCGCGGGAAUACGGAGGGUGCAAGCGUUAAUCGGAAUUACUGGGCGUAAAGCGCACGCAGGCGGUCUGACAAGUCAGAUGUGAAAUCCCCGGGCUUAACCUGGGAACUGCAUUUGAAACUGUCAGGCUGGAGUCUUGUAGAGGGGGGUAGAAUUCCAGGUGUAGCGGUGAAAUGCGUAGAGAUCUGGAGGAAUACCGGUGGCGAAGGCGGCCCCCUGGACAAAGACUGACGCUCAGGUGCGAAAGCGUGGGGAGCAAACAGGAUUAGAUACCCGUGUAGUCCCUGUCUCUUAUAC
rnacentral:rRNA from 1 species